UUCGGAGGUCAGAGCUCGGCGGGGUGCGGCUAGUGGCGGAGCGCGCUGCGAGGGGAGGGCUUUCCACUGUCGCUGGCGUGAACUCGCGUGCCCGGUGGGUAUCAGGGAAGAACCCCCGCCCCGGACCCCCAGAUCUGCCAUGGCCGAGGUAGCGAUCGUCUCUGCGGCCACGAAGACUGUUUUAACUUGUACCACUUUCCCUUCCAUUUUUCCUGGGGUGCCUCUCACCCUGCAUCUGCGCGUUCAGCAAGCUGGAUUUCGGGAAUGCUCAGUUCAGAAGAGAAAAAAUUGCCGGGAAUCAAGUCCUUCUUUUUGUUAGUCGGUAGUCGAUUGAUGGGAAGUGUUCAAAAUCAUUCGAUGUGGUGACAAGGCUUCACCAGGUACUGCCUUCUAACGAGCUGGCCAUUUCCACAUGUCAGAUAGGACCAACUUGCCUUUUAACUACCCGUGUGAUACUUAAACACUGUUGCCGGUAUCACAGCUUUUCUUCAAAACAGGUAUCACCAGUCUGUGGGUACAAAAGGAGAGUAACAUGAACGAUUCAAAUUCCACUGGCUCUUGUUCCCAUGGAUUCACAGAAGUUCAGCCCCAUUUCAAAACUUCACAUUUGCUUCUGGGAAGCCCAUUCUGGAAAGUUUCUCUGUGGCCCUCUCCAGAAGGCAGCGCGACUUCCACCCAGCAACACAAGUCUCUGCAGCACCUGCCCCAGCAGCGCCAGCUGAGCCCCGGAAGCUGGGAAGGCUUAAGCUGACUCUUCUGCUGCACAUAGCAAAAAAUGGUCAUUUCUGUAGUUGCAGCUCCAGAUCUACAAUAAUCAAUCUAUAUCCAUAUUUUAUGGGGUUUUUUUGAGACAAAGUCUUGCUCUGUUACUCAGGCUGGAGUGCAGUGGCAUUAUCAUCAUUCACUUGUAGCCUUGACCUCCCUGGCUCAGGUGAUCCUGUCACCUCAGCCUUCCAAGUAGCUGAGACCACAGGCAUGCACCACUAAGCCUGGCUAAUUUUUCAAUUUUUAUUUUUCGUAGAGACAGGGUCUCCCUGGGUUGCCCAAACUGGUCUUGAAUUCCUGGGCUCAAGCAAUCCUCCUGUCCCGGCACCCCGAAGUGUUGGGACUACAGGCAUGAGCCACUGUGCACAGCCCUUUUUGUUUUUGUUUUUGUUUUUUUUUAAAGGUAAUUUCCCAGUGGAAUCCUCGAGAUUUCUUCACGUUUUUGGAAAAAUGAGUUACAUUUUAGAUUGUUUUCCUUUUUGGAAUUUAAUGGUAUACAUUAUAUUACAUAGCUAUGUUGAGCUCUAUUUCUAUUACACUAAAAAGUAGGCUAAUUGUCUUAACUUUCAUCAGUAAUGACAUUAAAUGUGUGAAGAUUAUACUUGGAAUAAAGCACUUGGAUUCAUUCAUUUCUUCAGUAAAUAUUUAUUGAGCACUAGUAUGUUCCAACGAGUGUCUGUCUACAUUCUGGGGACAAGUGAUAACUAAAUCCCUGUCCUCGUGGAGAGUUAACAAUCAACAAACUAACAAACAUUUAAUUUAUGUCAUCAACUCAUUUCCACAAAUAUAACAACAUCUUGACUUCAAGUUUCCUGAGUUUCUGGUCUAAAGAAUUGCUACCUUCAAGAGCUCAAAUCAUUUGUUGGGGAGAGAGGCCUGUGAUAUAUUUUCUCCUUUACAAUGAAAGUAGCUGUAAAAAGAGGAAGAGAAAUUCUGAGGGUAAAGAUAAAAAAUGUUGAAAUCUUCUUUCUGGAUUUCAGAUUGAGUCUCUUGCCCUAAUUGAUGCAAUUUACACUCCAUGCAUCUCCUUCCCUGGACCUUCUCCAGUUCUUGGGGACUACAGAUGAACUUACUUUUAAUGCAUUUUAUGGCAUUUGGAGGCCCUCCAGUGGACAAAUACUAUACCUGAAAAAAAUCCUUUUGCUGUGCUAAAGUGUUCAGGUGUGAAGUGUACUCAUGUUUGCAAAUCACUUUGAAAUAUAUAAACAAAAAUGAAUUAAUGGAUGAAUAGAGUGAUGCAUAGAUCAUUAGACAUGUGAUAAAAAUAACUGUUAAUUGUAGAAUCUAGAUGAUGAGUAUAUUAUAUGAUAUGGCCCACUGUAUAAUUCUUUCAACUUUUCUGUUUGAAUGUUUGAUAAUAAAAUAUUGAAUAAAAAUCUUUUUGCUAAAGA
rnacentral:lncRNA from 1 species